rnacentral:lncRNA from 1 species
AUAUUUGGCAAUAUGCAAGUACAGUUGAGCACCGUUGUCUUGAUAUUCAUGGGACCAAG